rnacentral:rRNA from 1 species
GAUGAACGCUGGCGGCGUGCCUAACACAUGCAAGUCGAACGGACGACCUCGGGCUUGCUCGGGGUCGUUAGUGGCGAACGGCUGAGUAACGCGUGGGUGACCUGCCCGGAAGUGGGGAAUAACUGCCCGAAAGGGUGGCUAAUACCGCAUGUGGCCAUACGUUCGUUCGUAUGACCAAAGUCGCAAGGCGCUUCCGGAGGGGCCUGCGUUCGAUUAGCUCGUUGGUGGGGUAACGGCUCACCAAGGCGACGAUCGAUAGGUGGUCUGAGAGGAUGAUCACCCAGACUGGGACUGAGACACGGCCCAGACUCCUACGGGAGGCAGCAGUCGGGAAUUUUGCUCAAUGGGCGAAAGCCUGAAGCAGCAACGCCGCGUGAGGGAUGAAGGCCUUCGGGUUGUAAACCUCUUUUCCCAGGGACGAUGAUGACGGUACCUGGGGAAUAAGCCACGGCUAACUACGUGCCAGCCGCCGCAGUAAUAC